UUGAUUACGUCCCUGCCCUUUGUACACACCGCCCGUCGCUGCCCGGGACUGAGCCAUUUCGAGAAACUCGGGGAUCGGUGGCCGUCGACGUUUCGGCGCCCUCGGCUGUUGAGAACCGAUUUAAUCGCAGUGGCUUGAACCGGGCAAAAGUCGUAACAAGGUAGCUGUAGGUGAACCUGCUGCUGGAUCAUUA
rnacentral:rRNA from 1 species